GGUUUCCGUAGGUGAACCUGCGGAAGGAUCAUUACCGAGUUCUCGGGCUUCGGCUCGAAUCUCCCACCCUUUGUGAACAUACCUCUGUUGCUUUGGCGGCUCUUUGCCGCGAGGAGGCCCUCGCGGGCCCCCCCGCGCGCUUUCCGCCAGAGGACCUUCAAACUCCAGUCAGUAAACGUCGACGUCUGAUAAACAAGUUAAUAAACUAAAACUUUCAACAACGGAUCUCUUGGUUCUGGCAUCGAUGAAGAACGCAGCGAAAUGCGAUAAGUAAUGUGAAUUGCAGAAUUCAGUGAAUCAUCGAAUCUUUGAACGCACAUUGCGCCCCUUGGCAUUCCGAGGGGCAUGCCUGUUCGAGCGUCAUUACAACCCUCAAGCUCUGCUUGGUAUUGGGCGCCGUCCUCUCUGCGGACGCGCCUUAAAGACCUCGGCGGUGGCUGUUCAGCCCUCAAGCGUAGUAGAAUACACCUCGCUUUGGAGCGGUUGGCGUCGCCCGCCGGACGAACCUUCUGAACUUUUCUCAAGGUUGACCUCGGAUCAGGUAGGGAUACCCGCUGAACUUAAGCAUAUCAAUAAGCCGGA
rnacentral:rRNA from 1 species